UACGUAGGGUGCGAGCGUUAAUCGGAAUUACUGGGCGUAAAGCGUGCGCAGGCGGUUUUGUAAGUCUGACGUGAAAUCCCCGGGCUCAACCUGGGAAUUGCGUUGGAGACUGCAAGGCUGGAGUCUGGCAGAGGGGGGUAGAAUUCCACGUGUAGCAGUGAAAUGCGUAGAGAUGUGGAGGAACACCGAUGGCGAAGGCAGCCCCCCUGGGUCAAGACUGACGCU
rnacentral:rRNA from 1 species